rnacentral:rRNA from 1 species
AGAGUUUGAUCCUGCUCAGGAUGAACGCUAGCUACAGGCUUAACACAUGCAAGUCGAGGGGCAGCAUUAGGUACAAUACUGAGAUGGCGACCGGCGCACGGGUGCGUAACGCGUAUCCAACCUUCCCGUUACUUUGGAUAGCCUUCCGAAAGGGAGAUUAAUACAGGAUGGUGUUUGAAUUCCGCAUGUUAUUAAACUAAAGAUUUAUCGGUAACGGAUGGGGAUGCGUGACAUUAGAUAGUAGGCGGGGUAAGGCCCACCUAGUCUACGAUGUCUAGGGGUUCUGAGAGGAAGGUCCCCCACACUGGAACUGGACACGGUCCAGACUCCUACGGGAGGCAGCAGUGAGGAAUAUUGGUCAAUGGUCGGAAGAUGAACCAGCCAAGUAGCGUGAAGGAUGAAGGUUCUAUGGAUUGUAAACUUCUUUUAUACGGAAUAAAACCUCCCACGUGUGGGAGCUUGUAUGUACCGUAUGAAUAAGCAUCGGCUAACUCGUGCCAGCAGCCGCGGUAAUACGGAGGAUGCGAGCGUUAUCCGGAUUUAUUGGGUUUAAGGGAGCGUAGACGGGGGAUUAAGUCAGUUGUGAAAGGCUGCGGCUCAACCGCAGCACUGCGUUGAUACUGGUUCCCUUGAGUGCGGUUGAGGUGUAUGGAAUUCGUGGUGUAGCGGUGAAUGCUUAAUAUCACGAAGAACUCCGAUUGCGAAGGCAGUACACUAAGCCGUAACUGACGUUAGGCUCGAAAGUGUGGGUAUCA